rnacentral:rRNA from 1 species
AGCGAACGCUGGCGGCAGGCCUAACACAUGCAAGUCGAACGAAGUCUUCGGACUUAGUGGCGGACGGGUGAGUAACACGUGGGAACGUGCCCUUUGGUACGGAAUAACUCAGGGAAACUUGAGCUAAUACCGUAUGUGCCCUUCGGGGGAAAGAUUUAUCGCCAUUGGAGCGGCCCGCGUCUGAUUAGCUAGUUGGUUAGGUAAAGGCUCACCAAGGCGACGAUCAGUAGCUGGUCUGAGAGGAUGAUCAGCCACAUUGGGACUGAGACACGGACCAUACUCCUACGGGAGGCAGCAGUGGGGAAUCUUGCGCAAUGGGCGAAAGCCUGACGCAGCCAUGCCGCGUGAAUGAUGAAGGUCUUAGGAUUGUAAAAUUCUUUCACCGGGGACGAUAAUGACGGUACCCGGAGAAGAAGCCCCGGCUAACUUCGUGCCAGCCGCCGCAGUAACAC